rnacentral:rRNA from 1 species
UACAGAGGUCUCAAGCGUUGUUCGGAUUCAUUGGGCGUAAAGGGUGCGUAGGCGGCGCGGUAAGUCGGAUGUGAAAUUUCGGAGCUUAACUCCGAAACUGCAUUCGAUACUGCGGUGCUUGAGGACUGGAGAGGAGACUGGAAUUCAUGGUGUAGCAGUGAAAUGCGUAGAGAUCAUGAGGAAGACCAGUGGCGAAGGCGGGUCUCUGGACAGUUCCUGACACUGAGACACGAAGGCCAGGGGAGCAAACGGG